UAGGGAAUCUUCCGCAAUGGGCGAAAGCCUGACGGAGCAACGCCGCGCGAGUGAUGAAGGUCUUCGGAUCGUAAAACUCUGUUAUUAGGGAAGAACAAAUGUGUAAGUAACUAUGCACGUCUUGACGGUACCUAAUCAGAAAGCCACGGCUAACUACGUGCCAGCAGCCGCGGUAAUACGUAGGUGGCAAGCGUUAUCCGGAAUUAUUGGGCGUAAAGCGCGCGUAGGCGGUUUUUUAAGUCUGAUGUGAAAGCCCACGGCUCAACCGUGGAGGGUCAUUGGAAACUGGAAAACUUGAGUGCAGAAGAGGAAAGUGGAAUUCCAUGUGUAGCGGUGAAAUGCGCAGAGAUAUGGAGGAACACCAGUGGCGAAGGCGACUUUCUGGUCUGUAACUGGCGCUGAUGUGCGAAAGCGUGGGGAUCAAACAGG
rnacentral:rRNA from 1 species